rnacentral:lncRNA from 1 species
UAGGAGCUUUUUUCAAACUAAAGAACUUUAAUCUGCAGCAUUUUUUAUUGCGUGGGAAUCUACAGCUCUUCGAGACGUGGGAAUAUCAGAUUUCCAGCAGCAUUCUGGUCUGUUUCAGCAGCAGUUUGGGCUCGAACACAGUCUGCUGUUGGAUUCUGUUUGGGCACGAUUCUAAGAGCUGCUUUUGGAACUCUCAAAUUUGAUUACAACUGCAGCAUAUUGUUCGAGACUUGGUCGUGUGGAUCUUGAUCGUAUUAACUGGAAUUUGAGCUUCUCCG